rnacentral:rRNA from 1 species
AGCAAUACGGAGUGGCGCACGGGUGAGUAACGCGUGGAUACCUGCCCCUUGGUGGGGGAUAACGCCGGGAAACUGGCGCUAAUACCGCAUACGCCCUUAGGGGGAAAGAUUUAUCGCCGAGGGAGGGGUCCGCGUCCGAUUAGCUAGUUGGUGAGGUAACGGCUCACCAAGGCGACGAUCGGUAGCUGGUCUGAGAGGAUGAUCAGCCACACUGGGACUGAGACACGGCCCAGACUCCUACGGGAGGCAGCAGUGGGGAAUAUUGGACAAUGGGGGCAACCCUGAUCCAGCCAUGCCGCGUGAGUGAUGAAGGCCUUAGGGUUGUAAAGCUCUUUCGGCGGGGACGAUGAUGACGGUACCCGCAGAAGAAGCCCCGGCUAACUUCGUGCCAGCAGCCGCGGUAAUACGAAGGGGGCUAGCGUUGUUCGGAAUUACUGGGCGUAAAGGGCGCGUAGGCGGUCUUGCACG